GCCCGGGUGGCGGAAUGGCAGACGCAGCAGACUUAAAAUCUGCAACUCAUAGAGUGUACGGGUUCAAGUCCCGUCCCGGGUA
rnacentral:tRNA from 1 species